UAACGCGUGAGGAACCUGCCUCAAAGAGGGGAACAACAGUUGGAAACGACUGCUAAUACCGCAUAAGCCCACGACCCGGCAUCGGGUAGAGGGAAAAGGAGCAAUCCGCUUUGAGAUGGCCUCGCGUCCGAUUAGCUAGUUGGUGAGGUAAUGGCCCACCAAGGCGACGAUCGGUAGCCGGACUGAGAGGUUGAACGGCCACAUUGGGACUGAGACACGGCCCAGACUCCUACGGGAGGCAGCAGUGGGGAAUAUUGCACAAUGGGGGAAACCCUGAUGCAGCGACGCCGCGUGGAGGAAGAAGGUCUUCGGAUUGUAAACUCCUGUUGUUGAGGAAGAUAAUGACGGUACUCAACAAGGAAGUGACGGCUAACUACGUGCCAGCAGCCGCGGUAAAACGUAGGUCACAAGCGUUGUCCGGAAUUACUGGGUGUAAAGGGAGCGCAGGCGGGAAGACAAGUUGGAAGUGAAAUCCAUGGGCUCAACCCAUGAACUGCUUUCAAAACUGUUUUUCUUGAGUAGUGCAGAGGUAGGCGGAAUUCCCGGUGUAGCGGUGGAAUGCGUAGAUAUCGGGAGGAACACCAGUGGCGAAGGCGGCCUACUGGGCACCAACUGACGCUGAGGCUCGAAAGUGUGGGUAGCAAACAGGAUUAGAUACCCUGGUAGUCCACACUGUAAACGAUGAUUACUAGGUGU
rnacentral:rRNA from 1 species